rnacentral:misc_RNA from 1 species
CAGAAACUGAUUCAUAUUUUGCAUUGGAUUGGGCAUACCCCCAAAACCAACAUUCUGAUUCAAGAACUGAGGUGGGUUAACAAUAUUUUGCCCCAAGAAUUGACCUUUUUGUUGAAAAUUAGCAUUAUUCAUCUGAUUCACUUGGUACCCCAAAAGCUGCCCAGAGGAAAAGUUUGUAUUCGGGUUAUUGUUUGGAAUUGCCAUCUGAGACUGAAUUUGCAUAUGGUUUGGCAUAAAACUUGCUGGGUUACCCAUAACCUGCAGGGGAGGUGAAGGAGCAGUUCCAUUGGCCUGAAACUUAGAUGGAUGCUGAGGCCGUGAAUUUCUACCCGGUAACAUGGUUCUUCGAAGAGCAAGAGUUCAUGUAGCACAGUGAGGGAGACAAGGGUUUAAG